GAUGAACGCUGGCGGCGUGCUUAACACAUGCAAGUCGAGCGAUUUACUUCGGUAAAGAGCGGCGGACGGGUGAGUAACGCGUGGGUAACCUACCCUGUACACACGGAUAACAUACCGAAAGGUAUGCUAAUACGAGAUAAUAUGCUUUUAUCGCAUGGUAGAAGUAUCAAAGCUUUUGCGGUACAGGAUGGACCCGCGUCUGAUUAGCUAGUUGGUGAGGUAACGGCUCACCAAGGCGACGAUCAGUAGCCGACCUGAGAGGGUGAUCGGCCACAUUGGAACUGAGACACGGUCCAAACUCCUACGGGAGGCAGCAGUGGGGAAUAUUGCACAAUGGGCGAAAGCCUGAUGCAGCAACGCCGCGUGAGCGAUGAAGGCCUUCGGGUCGUAAAGCUCUGUCCUCAAGGAAGAUAAUGACGGUACUUGAGGAGGAAGCCCCGGCUAACUACGUG
rnacentral:rRNA from 1 species